rnacentral:tRNA from 1 species
UCCCUGGUGUCUCAGAUGGUAAAGAAUCUGCCUGCAAUGCAGAAGACCUGGGUUCGAUUCCUGGGUUGGGAA